rnacentral:rRNA from 1 species
AUUGAGCGCUGGCGGUAGGCCUAACACAUGCAAGUCGAGCGGAUGAAGGGGGCUUGCUCCUGGAUUCAGUGGCGGACGGGUGAGUAAUGCAUAGGAAUCUGCCCGGUAGUGGGGGAUAACGUCCGGAAACGGGCGCUAAUAUCGCAUACGUCCUGAGGGAGAAAGUGGGGGAUCUUCGGACCUCACGCUAUCAGAUGAGACUAGGUCGUAGUAGCUAGUUGGUGGGGUAAAGGCCUACCAAGGCGACGAUCCGUAACUGGUCUGAGAGGAUGAUCAGUCACACUGGAACUGAGACACGGUCCAGACUCCUACGGGAGGCAGCAGUGGGGAAUAUUGGACAAUGGGCGAAAGCCUGAUCCAGCCAUGCCGCGUGAGUGAAGAAGGUCUUCGGAUUGUAAAGCACUUUAAGUUGGGAGGAAGGGCAGUAAGUUAAUACCUUGCUGUUUUGACGUUACCAACAGAAUAAGCACCGGCUAACUUCGUG